rnacentral:rRNA from 1 species
UACGAAGGGGGCUAGCGUUGUUCGGAAUUACUGGGCGUAAAGGGCGCGUAGGCGGUACUUCAAGUCAGGCGUGAAAGCCCCGGGCUCAACCUGGGAACCGCGCUUGAGACUGGAGAACUAGAGUUCGGGAGAGGAUGGUGGAAUUCCCAGUGUAGAGGUGAAAUUCGUAGAUAUUGGGAAGAACACCCGUGGCGAAGGCGGCUCUCUGGAACGCAACUGACGCUGAGACGCGAAAGCGUGGGGAGCAAACAGG